GCAAGUCGAACGGCAGCAUGAUCUAGCUUGCUAGAUUGAUGGCGAGUGGCGAACGGGUGAGUAAUACAUCGGAACGUGCCCUGUAGUGGGGGAUAACUAGUCGAAAGAUUAGCUAAUACCGCAUACGACCUGAGGGUGAAAGUGGGGGACCGCAAGGCCUCAUGCUAUAGGAGCGGCCGAUGUCUGAUUAGCUAGUUGGUGGGGUAAAGGCCCACCAAGGCGACGAUCAGUAGCUGGUCUGAGAGGACGAUCAGCCACACUGGGACUGAGACACGGCCCAGACUCCUACGGGAGGCAGCAGUGGGGAAUUUUGGACAAUGGGCGAAAGCCUGAUCCAGCAAUGCCGCGUGUGUGAAGAAGGCCUUCGGGUUGUAAAGCACUUUUGUCCGGAAAGAAAUGGCUCUGGUUAAUACCUGGGGUCGAUGACGGUACCGGAAGAAUAAGGACCGGCUAACUACGUGCCAGCAGCCGCGGUAAUACGUAGGGUCCAAGCGCUAAUCGGAAUUACUGGGCGUAAAGCGUGCGCAGGCGGUUGUGCAAGACCGAUGUGAAAUCCCCGAGCUUAACUUGGGAAUUGCAUUGGUGACUGCACGGCUAGAGUGUGUCAGAGGGGGGUAGAAUUCCACGUGUAGCAGUGAAAUGCGUAGAGAUGUGGAGGAAUACCGAUGGCAAAGGCAGCCCCCUGGGAUAACACUGACGCUCAUGCACGAAAGCGUGGGGAGCAAACAGGAUUAGAUACCCUGGUAGUCCACGCCCUAAACGAUGUCAACUAGUUGUUGGGGAUUCAUUUCCUUAGUAACGUAGCUAACGCGUGAAGUUGACCGCCUGGGGAGUACGGUCGCAAGAUUAAAACUCAAAGGAAUUGACGG
rnacentral:rRNA from 1 species